AGGCCUCCUGGAUGACUUGGUCUGUUGUAUUGUUAUUAAGUUUGUUAAAUAAUUUGAGUAAGAAGCUCUUGUCUGUGUCCUCUUAUAAGGCAUGUAACAUCUAGGAUUGCUGUCUACAGAAGAGGAGGGGCUGGAAUUAUCCAUAUUCUAAGACAUCUGUUGUCAUGGGCCCUCUUCUUUGAAAAUAUCAAUAGAAAGAUGAAUUAUGUCGCAUCCUUUUGCCUGGAAGAGCUCUCAUUGCAGUAGAAGAAAACCAGCGUUUACAUAACCUCAAGCAAGACUAGGCCUGUCUUCUCCGACACUCAGCAGGAGCAGUGACUGCAGCUCUACUCACAAGAAGGCCGCACACAUGAAGCAGGUGUUGCCAUGGAUUUUCCCAUCUG